rnacentral:tRNA from 2 species
GCACGGUUGGCUGAGCGGCAAGGCAACGGUCUGCAAAACCGUUCCAGACCGGUUCGACUCCGGUACCGUGCU